GCCUGGUCUUUUUCUAUCCGACGACUGCAAGGCAGAGAGAGGAGCAUUAGCUCUUCACGGAGGCAACCCUCCUCCUCUGUGUUUUUCACCUGCUCCAAGCAGUCUGGAGGUGGCUAUGGAGAAAAGAACAUGGCAUUGAGAUGACGGACAGGCAGGCCCUCUUUAGCAUUGACAAGGACAUGCUUUAUGCUAGGGAUGUAGACAAGGUGAAACAACUCCAUCAUCUGGCCCUUGUCAACCCAGUUGCAGUCAGGUCAAUGUAGAGUAAAGUUAUGUCAGUGUAGAAUAACAAGAACAAGAUCUUAAUUGUCCUCCUCACAUGAUGUAACAAAAGUAAACUCUUCAAUACUGGUAUUCACAGAACAGAAUUGUUUUACCCACACAUGUUAAGUGAGGCAAUACAUGUCAGUUGUUUUAUGUGUGUUCAUUGAACAAUUGCAGGUACAGCAAAUUCCUGGCUUACCUGGAGAAACUCUAUGGUCGUAGGGAGUGUUGGGCCAUGGGUUUCAGAGAGGACAUGCUUACCUGUGGGAAUGACACCAACAACUACAUGGAAGCUGCCAUGAGAGUCCUGAAAGACUAAAUCCUCCAGAGGACCAAAGCCUUCAACCUGCUGCAGCUGUUUGAUCUCCUCACAUCCCGCUUGGAGACCUACUAUGAAGCCAAGGUGACAGACGUGGCACUUGAACGUUGGGAGGCUUUCCAUAAGUCUAGAUUCCUUGCUUUGGAGAGCAAUCUUCAACGGGCAGACAUCUGCCAGAUUGAAGAGAAUACGUUUAGUGUGAAGGGCACCACUCCAGGCACUGUCUACACAGUUGAUAUGGAGGUGGAGCUGUGUACCUGCCCAGUAGGCCAUACAGGGCACCAGGCUGCAGAACUUUGGAUGCUUCUCCAGCAACUUCCUUCCCACAACACCGGAGAUGUGGGCUGAGCUCUAUAAAAAUAACACCAGGAGCUAACAUUUCCCUGGAGUUCCUGCAACCCCUGAGGGACAAAAGUCAACUAAAUCAGCCAAGAGCUCAUUCCAAUCAACAACUUGGGGGUCCAAGAUCACCAGUAAAAGACAUGGCCACCUGCUUGGAGGAACAAACAGAGUGUGCUCCUGACCAACAGCCUGUGCCCAGUGACAAUGAUGAGGACAUAUGCUCUGAAUUAUCACCAACUGACCUGGUUGCUGGAAUGCUAGAUGACCUUAAUGGCGAAGCAAUUUAAUGCAAUUAAAGGCAAACCAUCAAGGCUUGUGUCAGCCAUCCAUUGCUUUGGGAAGUCUCACAUCAGCACAGCGGCCAAUAGCGCAGCAGCACUCCGAAGAGCUGCCAGAUGACCAGGCCCUAUGAUUCCCUGUCAGCCUACAGCUGUUGCCCGUCGUUUCACCAAGGCUGGUACUAAACGGCGUCUCACGACUGGAUGACCAAAAGGCCAGAACAGUGGCUCUGAGCACCCAUACUGUUCACAUGCUAAAAGGAAAAGGCCAUCAGAAAUUAGACAUCACAAGUUGUCUGACUCAGUGUAUGCAAAUAGUUCUCACCCAAAGUGAA